rnacentral:rRNA from 1 species
AGUGAACGCUGGCGGUAGGCCUAACACAUGCAAGUCGAACGGCAGCACAGUAAGAGCUUGCUCUUACGGGUGGCGAGUGGCGGACGGGUGAGGAAUACAUCGGAAUCUACUUUUUCGUGGGGGAUAACGUAGGGAAACUUACGCUAAUACCGCAUACGACCUACGGGUGAAAGCAGGGGAUCUUCGGACCUUGCGCGAUUGAAUGAGCCGAUGUCGUAUUAGCUAGUUGGCGGGGUAAAGGCCCACCAAGGCGACGAUCCGUAGUUGGUCUGAGAGGAGGAUCAGCCACACUGGAACUGAGACACGGUCCAGACUCCUACGGGAGGCAGCAGUGGGGAAUAUUGGACAAUGGGCGCAAGCCUGAUCCAGCCAUACCGCGUGGGUGAAGAAGGCCUUCGGGUUGUAAAGCCCUUUUGUUGGGAAAGAAAAGCAGCAGGUUAAUACCCCGCUGUUCUGACGGUACCCAAAGAAUAAGCACCGGCUAACUUCGUG